GUAAAGAAUUGAAAAAAACAGCCCAGGAAAGUGAUGGAAUCACUACCCCUGGAAGUAUUCAAAAGGCAUGUGAAUGUGACACUUGGGG